AAUUUUCAACCCAAGGCUGAGUUCAACCCCUGGGUUGAAAUUUCAACCCUGCAACCCCGGGGUUGAACUCAGCCCUGGGUUGAAAA